AACGAACGCUGGCGGCAUGCCUAACACAUGCAAGUCGAACGAGACCUUCGGGUCUAGUGGCGCACGGGUGCGUAACGCGUGGGAACCUGCCCUUAGGUUCGGAAUAACUCCCCGAAAGGGGUGCUAAUACCGGAUAAUGUCUUCGGACCAAAGAUUUAUCGCCUUUGGAUGGGCCCGCGUUGGAUUAGCUGGUUGGUAGGGUAAAAGCCUACCAAGGCGACGAUCCAUAGCUGGUCUGAGAGGAUGAUCAGCCACAAUGGGACUGAGACACGGCCCAGACUCCUACGGGAGGCAGCAGUGGGGAAUAUUGGACAAUGGGCGAAAGCCUGAUACAGCAAUGCCGCGUGAGUGAUGAAGGCCUUAGGGUUGUACAGCUCUUUUACCCGGGAUGAUAAUGACAGUACCGGGAGAAUAAGCUCCGGCUAACUCCGUG
rnacentral:rRNA from 1 species